CCGCGAUGCUACAGAACCUGCCUGGGGAAUGGCUCGGCUCGAGAGCUGAAGAAGGUCGUGACAAGCUGCGAUAAGCUGCGGGGAGAGGCAUGAAUCUCUUGGAUCCGCAGAUUGCCGAAUGGGACCUCCUGUCGCUAUGCGACAUUCCCGGUUUAACUGGGAAAGGGAACCGCCCGAAUUGAAGCAUCUUAGUAGGGCGAGGAAAAGAAAUCAAACGAGUAUUCCGUUAGUAGUGGCGAAUGAACACGGAGAAGGACAAACUGAAUCUCCUUGGGAAACCUUGGAGAGAUGUGGGGUAUGGAUCGUCUUUCGUCUAAAUUCAUGAAGCAGAAGUCGCCUGGAACGGCGCACCAGAGAGGGUGAAAGUCCCGUAUGUGCAGUGAACAUGACCACGUGACGAAUCCAGAGUACCGUGCGUCGGAUAUCGCGCGGGAAUGUGGGAGGCAGAUACUUCCAAUCCUAAAUACGACUCGAGACCGAUAGUGGACCAAGUAGCGUGAGCGAACGCUGAAAAGUAUCCUUUACGGGAUGUUAAAAGACCCUGAAACCAGGUAGGAACAGACUGAUAUGGC
rnacentral:ncRNA from 1 species